GCUUCAACGAGUCAGCCUCUCCCGCCCAGGCUCUCGAAAGGAGAAUCUGAUGUGCCGGCGCCGAGGACACCAGCAGAAGCAGCACUAUGCCGGCAUUGUCACAAAGUCCUAUUUUUCUGUGCUAGAUCCAUAUUAAGGGCACAUGUGAUUGUCAGCUUCUAUGAGGAGUUUGCGGUGAUGCUAAAUGAAAUGGUCAUUAUUGAAAUGUUGCGGAAACAGAUAUUGAGAUACUGACAUCAUUUGGACUAUUAUGGAUAUCCCUAUGUAUCUUAUCUAUGAUUGAUGCACUCUGCACUUUGAGAUACUGACAUCAUUCGAGCCAUUAUUGGUAUCUCCAUGUAUCCUAAUGGACAUCCGGGAUAUGGAACGCAUUAAUGCCUUUGAUGAACUGUCCUGCGUGCUAUGGAACACACACGCUACAAGACUACAGUGACUUACAGCAUUGUUAAUAGUGGAACGCAUUGUGGAAUACACAAUACGUACUUCCGGUUCUGGCCCGUAGCGUUACUUCCGUUAGUUGUGAAGCGGGAGUGUGCGCGGGUGAAUGAUUUAUGCACCUGUUUGUGAUCUGUAAUUAAGAGGGUUAUAUAGGAAUGAUCAGUGCAGUUAGCCAACAUGCCUCUGAUGAAUGACUUUGUCCGAAAAGCUUCAGGCGUGGUGACUGAUCAAAGGACCAUCCUGGCUGUGUGGAUACUUGUUGGCGGCUCACGAGUUCGGGAGCUCUGAUCUCCAUGCCCAUAUUCCAUCUGGGAGGGUAACUGUACCUGUGCCUGUGAUUUCCUGCCCACUCUAGGGGCUAUAUAUGCUUUAUAUCUUCUACCAUUGUGAGUUUAAUGGAAUAAAUUUUGUGUUUUAUUUUAUCCGGCUGUGUUGCACUAUGUCCCCUUCUUUUCUUUUGAGAUAUUGAAAAAGAGAAGUGGGUAAUCUGUUAUUAUCUGCUACAUGUGAUCUGCAUCCAAAUACAUAAAGCUACAUACCUGUACCUGGAUGACUGCAAAUACCUCCAGUAUUGAGAGAGGGGAAUUGUGCUAUCAGCCUUGAAUUUCUGGACUCCGUAGAGGCUCAAGUAAAAGGGUUCCAUAUUUCGAAAUGGAUUAUCUGUUCAUUUAAUGUAAGGACUUUUUCUCCACAUUUUGUGUUUGCGCUUUUAGUGAUACCUUGUAUGAUAUAUGUUUUACAUUAGACCAGUGAAGGGUCUUAUGUAUCACUAGGGCUGCACCUCAAAGAGUGGCACUAUCAUAAAUCUUUUUUUGUACUACAAUUUUCUAGUUUAAAGCUUACAAGCUUUCAACAUAAAGACACUAUUAUGAUUUGUCUAUCUGUAAUUCCUUCCUACAUGUUUGUACCGUGUGUCUAUGUGGUUUGCUGAUUUGUUUUUCUUUUGUAACCCUGCUUAUGUCGCAGGUGACUGAAGAGGUCAAUUUUAAAAGCCGCUGCUCCAUUUUUGUGCCCCUGAACCUUCUGGGCCCCUCUUAACCUCAGUGCCCAGUUUGGGUGUACCCUUUGUACCCACCUGUUGCCGGUCCUGCGCCCAAUCCUGAGUAUACCCUGUUAUUGGCACCAGGGCUAUGCCCCUUACCCCUUAGGCAGUGGGUUUGUGGUUAAUAAUUUCUAAAAAAUAGAAUAACAAAAUUUUGGCCACAGUGCGUUAUAGGUCCAAGUAUGUAUGGUUGGUAAAAAUAGCUGCCAGGGCAUGGGGAAAAAAAAACCACCCACUAUCAGAGGAAUAGUGGGCAGGGCGAUGAAUAGUGUCUUUGUAGCCCAACCCUGGACCGCCCACUAUUCCAGAGCCGAGUCCCUUGUUGAGCCGACCUGGCUGCUCCCUCACAGAGGGAGCAGCCAGAAAGUCGGCAAGAAUGAGGUAAGUAGGAAAUACUACUACUAUU